UACGGAGGGUGCAAGCGUUGUCCGGAAUCACUGGGCGUAAAGGGCGCGUAGGCGGCCUGGUAAGUAGGGGGUGAAAUCCUGCGGCUUAACCGCAGGGCUGCCUUCUAAACUGUCAGGCUUGAGCACGGUAGAGGCAGAUGGAAUUCCCGGUGUAGCGGUGGAAUGCGUAGAGAUCGGGAAGAACAUCAGUGGCGAAGGCGGCCUGCUGGGCUGUUGCUGACGCUGAGGCGCGACAGCGUGGGGAGCAAACAGG
rnacentral:rRNA from 1 species